rnacentral:rRNA from 1 species
CGCGGGACCUGAACCGGGGAGGCAAGCGCAUUAACAGGUGUGACGCAGGAAGGUAGCCGGGCCGGGCAAUGGAAAUGACCUGGUCUAAGGGUGUAGGGCUGCCGGUAGGUAAAUCCGCCGGCUGUAUGCCUGAGACCUGAUGGGCGCCCACAUGGUGGGUGAUCCGGUGAUCCUAUGCUGCCUAGAAAAGCAUCGGCGCGAGGUUCAAACUGCCCGUACCCUAAACCGACACAGGUGGUCAGGUAGAGAAUACUAAGGCGAUCGAGAGAAUCAUGGUUAAGGAACUCGGCAAAAUGCCCCCGUAACUUCGGGAGAAGGGGGGCCCCAACCUUGAGCACCACGUGCUGGUGUGAGGGGAUCGGGGCCGCAGAGACCAGGGGGAAGCGACUGUUUAUCAAAAACACAGGUCCAUGCGAAGUCGUAAGACGAUGUAUAUGGACUGACUCCUGCCCGGUGCUGGAAGGUUAAGGGGACCCGUUAGCUUCGGCGAAGCGGAGAACUUAAGCCCCAGUAAACGGCGGUGGUAACUAUAACCAUCCUAAGGUAGCGAAAUUCCUUGUCGGGUAAGUUCCGACCUGCACGAAUGGAGUAACGACUUCCCCGCUGUCUCAACCAUGAACUCGGCGAAAUUGCAUUACGAGUAAAGAUGCUCGUUACGCGCAGAAGGACGGAAAGACCCCGUGACCUUUACUAUAGUUUGGUAUUGGUGUUCGGUGUGGCUUGUGUAGGAUAGGUGGGAGACUGUGAAGCGGGCACGCCAGUGUUCGUGGAGUCGUCGUUGAAAUACCACUCUGGUCACUCUGGAUAUCUAACUUCGGCCCGUGAUCCGGGUCAGGGACAGUGCCUGAUGGGUAGUUUAACUGGGGCGGUUGCCUCCUAAAAUGUAACGGAGGCGCCCAAAGGUUCCCUCAGCCUGGUUGG